rfam:Acremonium chrysogenum ATCC 11550 scaffold6, whole genome shotgun sequence.
AGCAAUUUGGCGCAGUGGAAGCGCGCCGGGCUCAUAACCCGGAGGUCCUACGAUCGAAACGUAGAAUUGCUA